AGGGGCUGAAGCAAAUGAUGAUCAUUCUGGCAUUUGCCUCUUCUCCACAGUGGGAAGGGGGAGAGCUGUGGCAUGCUGAGCUGGGAAAAAUGAGAAAAUGGCAGCUGCCACCAGUACUACGAGGUGUCCUUGACUUCCAGCCUGGCUGCAGGCAUUUUCAAGUGCACCGCACUUCUAUUUUUCAUAGCUUUCUAGAGCAGUUUCUUACACUGCUGUGUAGAAAAGCCACACAUGAGAGAUUUUUUUUUUUUUUUUUUAUUAUUAAAUCUAAACAUAAAAAGAAAAUUUCACAAAUCUGUUGGUCUGGCUGUUUCCCAGUCAUAUGUCAUCUGAAUUACAUUACCACAAUAUUCCAGACAUUAAAUUAAAGACAGUAGGAACAAGUAUAGUUGACAUCUGUGCAAAAUUUAAAACUAAGGAACUUCCAGUGGUUUCUUUAAUCCCAGCCAAAUUAUGGCUUUUACCACACUCUUCCUUCUAUAAUGCCAUUUUUUUUUUUCUCUCUCUUGCAAAGGCAUUCAUAAGAUCACAACUGUGCAGCUGCAAGGCGUCCUGUCCUGUUCCUGUGUGGGCUGCCCACGCCAGUGGUUGCACCAAGGCAAUGGUCCCGGCUCAUCUUGGGGGAUGCUGCCCUGGUUUCCCCCUUUUUGUGAGGCAGAGGAGUUUCUCCUUUUCUCCUGUUCUUAUGGUGAAAGACCUUAACGGCAUCUGGUAAACAGACACGUGCUCACCAUGCAGCCCUUUGGUGCCCACUGCUGUCCCCAGGGAUCCUUCCCGCAGCCCACCCGCACCACUGGCUGGCCCACAGGGGAGCGAAGCGGGAUGCCUUGUGAUGCCCUGUAUCCCCUUGUUUUCCUCUGUGUUUGUUCAGCUGCAAUCUGGGGUCCAGAAAUCAAUGAAUAAAUUGCCAUCAUCCAGUGAAUAAAACAGUCAUCUGAUACUCGUGCAGAAGAGGUGGGCAGCACAGACAGAUCUUAAACCUGUGGCACUCCCGGCUCUCCACUGUGCCAGGAGAACUCAUCCUGAAGUAUGUGUAAAUGCAUCCAUCCUGACCUACUACUGCUGGUGCUGUCCAAUGGACUGAAUCAUUACCAGUUCAAGAUAUGCUGCUGUCAGAGGGAACUGCUAGCAGAACUUUCCUCUCUUAGGAAGAUGCUCAACAUCAUCUUAAAAAAGGUAAGUUCCCUUCAGGUAUCUCAGAUAAACAGCAAGAACUACAGUUCUGCCCAGUCAGGCACUUCUACAAGCACUUCACAAAGUUAAGGGUACUUAGUGUCAUAUUUUUAAAUGCUGAAUCCUAAAUACCUAGAGAACUCAAAAUGAAGAAUUCCUCAUCGUGAAAUUUCAACAUGUGGUACAAAUCAGUUUAGCAGCAGAGUCAGGUUUUCUGGAUUCAGAACACAGGUUCAUUCUCAGUGAUGAACCUGUUGGCCCUGAAGGCAAGUGGAGACGCACCAACAGUUUGUUAGCAAUGUCCAGGACAGUAAAGGAAUGUCAGAGUUCUGGACACUACAGCAAUUGAAUUAUUAAUGAACUAAUUAGCAUAGUUAUUACAGAUAUGUUAAUAAUCUUACCAUCACAAUGAUUAUGAUAGUUAUUAAUAUAGUAACAAGCAUAAUUAACAAUAAUAACAUUUAUUAGUACAGUUAUAAGCUCUUUGUAUAUUAUGUGAGAAGGUAUGCUCUGGUAGCACCUUCUCACUUUGUCCUCUCAGAUACUCUCAGUUCUCUUCUGCUUUAUCCCUCCUUGGAGCUACUGUCUUUCCCUUCUCCUGUUUAAUCCUUCCAAUCUGUUGUCCCAAAGGUUACCCUUAUCCCUGACUUUUCCCCUACCCCAGGGAAUAGUCAUUCUUCCAUUCCACAGGAUUUGUACCAGCUAUGCACAGUGCAUGUCAUGAACUGUACAACCAUCACUGGAUUCACUGCACAUGUGGGAUAUUCGCCUUCACUCUGGGAACUGGGGUAGGAAGCCCUAGUUUCUGUUGACAUCAAUGCACAUUCACUCUUGAUCUCUUUCUCUUGAAGUCUUCUGUGCAGAACAAAUACAAAAGAACAAAAUAAAAUAAAAUAAAAUCAAGUGGAAUAGUACUAUUGAACAUAAUUCAAUGAUGAAUACAACAAACAUUUAUUUAUAAUAACUAAUAUUGAGGAAAUAGUUCUUAUGAAACCUAGGCUUUCUGACGCAAGAAGUCAAGUUCAAUGUGGUUACUGCCUUGGGUCUAAACAUUUAGGACCAGGCUGUGCACUAGCUGGACUUUGAAACUACUAAUGCAAACAUUGGCUUAGAGUAUACUACAGCAGCUCAUAAAGCUCCAUGUUACAGGGACAAAGUAUCUGCUGUUUUGGUGUUUACUGUUUCUGUUCUGGGGUAGACUGCAUGUAAAACAUGGCAAAGGGGUAUGGCAUCUUCAUACAGAUGGAGGAACAUCCCUUUCCUCCCACUGCGCCCAGACACAGUGGUGUAUCUACAGAAGGAGCAGCUAUUGAGCCUAGGAUUUCUGAGGUGUACACAGGGGAAAAUGCCCCCUUUUCUUAUUAGUUCAAAUGCAGCUGAGAAAUUACAAGCACAAAUUGCAUUUGUAGAACAAAACACACUAUCCUUUGGAAAUGUGAUAUCUUGCUUUCCAAGGGUCUCACUACUACUUAUAGUUACUUCAGUUUAUGCCCGCUUACCCAUCACCCUCAGGCCCAGAUCUAACAGAGCAGCAAAUUUUGAUGCAGAUGUCUCUUGUCACCAUUAGCAUUGCACAGCAUCAUGUGCAGGCUCAGAAAUGCAACCACAGAGGGUAGCAGGUUCAGAUGUGCACACAUGCAUGCAUGCAUAUUCAGAUAACAGUAGCAUCUGGUCACAACUUUACAUGUUGUCCCUUCUUUGUACACCUUCAAGUGCUGUCUUGCCAAUAGACCGCAAAUUGGCCUCCUUUUGAGAAGUAUAUUUUAAUGUGUAUAUACACUCACAUACAUAUGUCUAUACAUGGAGAGAGAGAGACGCCAUGGCAUAUAUGUAAGUAUACAAAUACAGCCUAAUAACAUAUGACCCUGAUUGGGCCACCAGAUGUUGGCAAUUAUGAAACUAGCUAAAGGUAAUAUUAAUGACACACAAACAUCCUUUUUUGGAGUUCUUGUUCAUGGUCAGAAACAAAAAUGAAUAAUGAAUUCUAAAAUUGGUUUAUAGCAGUGCCAUCAACAGCAUCUUUGCAUCUUCUAGGUGUUUAGAGAUGAGGGGCCCAGUCAAACCUGACUGGCAUGUAGAUAAUCCCAAAGGAGGGACGUGCAAACUCCACCCUUUCCAGUGCUCACUUUUGCAGAGGAUGCUGCUGUGACUGUGGCUCAGUCCCACUGUCAUCAAAAAGGACAGGGAGCAAAUGGGACUUAUAACAGCAGUGCCUGGUUUCAGCAACUAUGGAAGCCUGCCAUAUAUGCUGUGCAUCGUUUUUAUAGCCCUGAUCAUGACACAAGAUAGAAGCCGGAAAAUAGUCUCUUAUCAUCAUUCCACACACAACAAUCUCUCUUUUAGUAUGUGCCCUGGGCAUGAUCCUGCCAGUUUCACUGGCACAGAUACAGAAGACAGUAUUUACUCUUCUCUGUAACCUAUUUACAGGGAUUUCUUCUGAACUCCCAGAAUUUCCCCUGGAGUGGGACAACCCCAUGCUGUUCUCAGUUAGUGCUAUUCAUAACAAUUUCUAACAACAGCAACAAACAACAAAAUUCUGCUGUGUUGAGCCUGAAAGAUUUCUGGCACAAUAUAUUUGCCAAAUACAGUCCAGGAUUUCAUUUGGUGGCUUUUUGACCAGCCUGCUCCUGAGCCAGGGUCCUUGGGAGUCCAGGGUCAUCAACUGGGAAUGAGCUACUCUUCCCACCUCUCUGCUUGGCAAGGGGAGCAGAAAAGGCCAGGAAACUUUAACUAUAGCACAGACCACAACUUUGGAGUUGCAGGCAGCUGUUCAGCAGAAAUGACUUUUCUUGCAUCAGUGAAACUGUGGAAAACAGCAAUGUUACUGAGCUGAUGUAGCUUCUGGGGAAAAUACUUAAUCUGGGAAGUGUUAUAUAUCUUAGGUUCUGAAAGAAAAUGUUCACAAUUUCUUGUUCAUAGGAACUUGUGAAACAUUUUACGUUUUGGUUCAGUUUUGAUUAAAGUGAAGUUUGGAAAAGGUUAAGUUUUUCACACACCAGAAAGCUACUUUAACACCAGUUCUCCUUCUAUUGCAAGCUAGGGCUAAUUAGGCAAGUUCUUGGCCCAAUAAGCAAUGAGAUGGCCAAAUAAAACAAAUAGCUAUGCUACUAAUCUCUCUUACAUAAGUGAAACAUGAGAGAAUUUCACAGAAUCAUUGGUGUUAUUGUAACUAGGAUUUAAAAACAGGAUAGUAAAUAAAUGUCAUUGCCUUGUCAAAGAGAUGUAAGACUUUUAUACUGGCUGUAUAUUUGCCCUCUUGACUGCUGCAAAACAGUGGAAAGAAAUAUCGUAAAAAUAGAAGCGCUUGAAAAAUAUGGUGGAAAAUUAGGCAAAUAACCAAAGCAGUUUGUAGUUAUAGCUAAGUAUUCAAAUUUCCAUUUACCCUACCCAGUCUUGAAAUGCUAGGGUAAAUUUGGGGUUGAUUAGGAACACAUGACAGGAGCCUCGAUAUCUCUCAGCCCCAUAGCUCUCAGACACAUGCAGUAUUAUGUAAUGUCCUCUUCAUGUUACAUAUGCUCUUCGGGAUCAUGACCAGGCAGGAGCCACCAAUAAGGCUGACACUGAUGUUGCAGGUACAGAAUACAAUGCUGCCGCCUAAAAUGCUUGGAUGUUGCCACCAAAGAACUGGAACAUGAAGGGUUUCUGAGCAUGAAAAGGCUGUAGCACCUGCUCCUCUACCUUCUUCCUAUACAAGAACCUUCACCUUCCUGUACAAGGAGAACUGUCUUACCUAGCCAAGAAAAGAAAACAAGUUACCUGUCUGCCAGAGGACUGGCAGACUAAAUACACAAAAAUUUAUUCACUCGCAUGCAACAACGGCAUGCAAUCCGUUUGUCUGUACAUAGUGGUGAAUAAAACCAUUGCAAGCUGAAUGAAAACAAAAGGUAUGCUUUGAGUUAAUAGAUUUUGUUCUAAAUAAAAUAUGGAAAUGGAACCCUAGAGGGAGGAAAACAACAAUACUUCAUGCAAAGGUAGUUAAAAAAAGAGACAGUUGAUAUGGGAAUAUGGAAUUUAAUGUCUUUGCAUACAGUAUUUUUAAAAAAUGCCAAUUUUCAGCUUUUACUUUGUGGAAUGUGGACUAGCAGGUCAGUUGCAUAAGCUGUUUGCUGCUCCCAUUUUUCCACUGUUCAUACCUUUGGCUUGGAUAAAUUCUUUUGAAAAACAGCUUUACAGAGCACAGAGACAGGUGCAUUUGCUGGUGGAACUCUGUAGACCAACUAGUCAACUGACUAUGGUAAACCUCUUCCCCCUUAAAACUGGUGUUUUGAAUUGUUAUAUAAAUUCAACAGUUUCUAAAGAUAAAUGUGACAGUGACAGCUCUCAGGCUGGGCAGGUCAGUUACUCAGUUAUAUAAGAAACCCGGCCUUCUGUGCAAUGUCAAAAUUUGCCUGCAAUAUGUUUGGCCAAAGAUCAACUAUAAACGGAGACUCUGAUCUCUUCAGACUUCGUCUGACCUGCCUGUGGUUUUUCUAAUAUGUAGCCGUCUGCUCUGGGCCAGAACUACAUUUUCUUGCAUUCUAGAUUUUAUCAUCAUUUUACAUUUUACCUUCAGUGUCCCUGUGAGAAAAAGACUGAGAUUAUUAUUAUUAAUUUAUUAUUUUUUUUUAAAAAGAGGAUCAAGCAAAGAAGAAGAAAGGUACCAAAAAUUGUAGCCUGAAAUGAUUAUCUUAAACUAAACUCCUUGGCAAAUAUUGGUAUUUUCUGGUAAAAAAAGAAGAUAGAAGAAGAUUGUGAAAACACAUCCUGCCCACCUUGCUCAAAACUGACUGGUGAGAAGAGAAUUGGUUGUGGUUGCACACAUGCUAUGCAUGAGUAAUCAGGCCCUCAAAGCUUUCAAGUUACAAGCCUGAAAAAGGUAAGAUCUUCAAGCAAGGGGUAAGUCUCUUUAUGAAGAGAUCAAUAUGAGACAUGCUGCUGAGUGCUCACCACUUCUUCACAGUAAAAAUCUGGCAUAUAGGCUCCUCAAAACAAUAAAUAAUUUAGCACAGAUCCCAAAGACUUCAUCAGUUUAAAAAUCAUGCUUUCAUUUUUUUUCUGAACAUGCUGUGCCUUACAUUACUAUGGAAAACAACUUCCAGUGGAAAAAAGAAGACAAGUGUUAGUGAAAUGGUUAAAGAGAUGCUUCUAGGUUUUCCCCCGUAAAUCUGAUGGCAUUUUGCAAAUAGUUCCUUGUUUUGCUUAUAGAUUUCAAAAUUAUUGUCUCUGAUUUACACGUGUUUUAUACAUGACCAGAGGAAAACAUUUUUAAAAUUAAAUAAAAUAAUUAUCUUUUUCUGUCCCACAAAAUGGCCUGAGGGAGUCAGGAUGUAAUCUACUGUGCUUUAUAGAUCGCUUUUUGAAGUAGAUUAGAUAGGUGAUUUUAUAUCUUUUAAAAAUAGCAUAGCAAAGUAUUCCAUAACAGCAAAUUUUUCACACUUCAUCCCUGGAUCAUGAAAAUGGUCUUCUUCCAUUAUGCGCUCAAUAAUGAGCAAAUCAACAUGUUUACCAUCUAAUUGAGACAUGUAACUACAGAGAAAUCCAGCCAUCUCAAGUGCAGGUGGUACAGAGGUCUUCAAAAUUGUGAAGUAAAAUACAUCUUCAAAUAAAAUCACAGUGCAAUGACCUUGGUCGAAAUUCAGCCUCAGUUCUACAUAUAUUGGGAACCAAAUUCUGGGGUAACAAAGAAUGAACUUCUUACCUUACAAAUGAUCAGCAGAAAGCCUUUUCCUUACUUCAGUCUUACUGAAACCUGGCAUGUAAGUGGGACAGGCUUUGUGAAUCAGCCCUGUGCCUGACUUGUGCAUGGAGGUGAAUGCUAUCCUGAAAAAGGGGAGGAAAAAAAAAAGGUGAUUCAGACUGAGCUUUUCUAGACUUAAAUAACAGUUUAAAAAUUUCAGAUGUCAGAGUGCAACUGAUUAAAUUUGCAGCUGUCUAGGUGAAAGCAAGUGAUUGGAGGAUCUCAGAGGAUUUGGGACCAGAUUCACCCAUAUGGUUUCAGUCAUUCCGACAACAGAAAACAUCUGUAAAACUGUUUCCCUGGCCAGAAAAAGUUGAGUUUAUAGUUACUUUGUGUCUCUAAGUAUCUGAUGAAUACAAUCCUUUGUCUCUAGAAGCAUCUGAAAACCCAGAUGCUUAUCUGCAAUUCUCAGCUAAAAAAAUUGUGAUAGGCAUCUUGUGAUAGCCCAUCAUGAGCUUUUCAGUCAUUUUUGAUAUUGAGUAAUCGGUUAGAAAAUAUUUGAACAGAAAUUCUCUCUGUGCCAAGAGGAGUUUUUAUCUUGUAUGGACUUUUAUGUUUAUUAAAAGGAAGAUCCUGUUCUGGGAAACUUGCAGCCUAGGUAUAAAACUGCAGAAGAACAGUUAACAAUCAGUUUAGAUAGACAAAUUAAGACAAACAGUGCAGGAAGAAAGUCUAAAAAGGAAGAGUAACUGAGCACUUGCAUUUGGCUCAUUUUCAUGUCUUAAGGCUGCAGGGGGUUGUUUGUUUUUUUAUCUGUGCUCCUUUGAUGGACUCAAUGGGAGGGUUUUAUGAGACAAGAGUAUUUUGAGAAGAGACUUUAAAGAAUAAGGGGUGGAGGCACAGUGGAUUGGGUCAUGAAGGGAAUUUCAGGCAGGGGGGCUCCAUUGAAGAAGGCACCAGAGAAAGAGCUGGCGAAGCAGAUGUGUGCAACUUGAGCCAAGUAAAGGAGACAAGGGUGAAAAGAUGAGAGCAGAGCUCUUCUAGCAGACUUCUCAUGCUUCUCGUCCCACUCCCACUUCAAGCCUGAAAUGCAUGGAAAUAGAGGGUGGGGAGGUGCUGAUGGAGAAAGAAUUGCAGUGGCAGAAACUAACCCAACCUUCUCAGCCUUCAAAAAAGAUACUUUUAGUGUUCUGGAUUGAGAGUUUAGAUUAGAAAUUUUGUCUGUUUCCACUUCCUAGUGCUGACAGGUAACAAUAUUUUCUAAUUCUUUUUAAAGAUUCAUUUGCUAGAAAUCUGCUACUUUUCUUUGUGUUUGCUUGAGACCACUUGCACAUUUGGAUCUCCCAAAUAUCACGCAGAGAGACUCUGGAGACAGAGAAUGAAAGAGGUGCUUUAUUGUUUGCUCCCUUGCUAAGUCUCUCUCUUUCUCUCUUUUUUUCUCUCCCCUGUCUCUGAAGGAAAUAUUUCCAAAUGUGCACUUUCUCAGUCUUGUCUGAAUGUUCUUUAGAUUAAAGGUCAAAGAUACAAUUCUUGUCAUUGCAUAGAUACCAAAGAGAAUGGUAAAAAUGGAGCAGUAUCAGUUUUGUGGACCACAUUAAAAAUAACUGAAAGCAACAGCUUUAGGACUGAUUUAAAAGGCCAUGCAAAUGGGUAAAAUCUAGCAGCCUUAGGACACAGUUUAACACUUUGGGACAUAUUGCAUACUUUUAUAAAGAUCUUUAAAUGUUGGCAGGAGAUAAAUCACCUUUUCCAAUUAUUUUGAAAUUAUGCAAGCUAGGCAUACUACAACUUUUGAUCACAAGUACUUACUGAAAUGUAUGUAAUGUAUUCUCUAAGUACUCCUAUCAAGGUCACACUCAGAUCUAGACCAUAAUGGCUCUCAGAACACUGGUGGUCUGAGGGCUCUCUGCCCUUCCACUGGCAGCAGUUAAACAAGUACAAUAACAUAGGAAACUCUGAUUAUAAAAAUUCAUCAAGUUAAACUAAAACACUAGCUAUUAAACGGAAUACAUAAAGUAGGAAAGAAUUAUAAUAUAAGCAGUGUUGUGUUUUGUAAAUAAUGAAUAGAUAUCUACUGCCCAUGGGAGAAAAACAAACAAACAAACAAACAAAACAAAACAAAACAAAACAAAAAAAACAAAAAAAAAGACAACAAUUUACUUUAGGCAACAAGAUAGACAACGACAUGCUAGCAUUAAAGUGAAAACUUUUGUGUCCUUUUAAAAAUAAGUACUGCAUAUACCUACAUAGAGAGUAAUGUAUUCUUCAGUUGCUGAGAGCUAGUACAAAAUCAACAUGCUUUGACAGAUAGGGAUAGUUCUGAAAGGGUUAUUCAGUGCUUAAGAGAGUACUUGUCACUUGCAUAAUUUUAAUAGAAUUAGCAGACAGUUUGAUGGGAUUACUUCUUCUCAUGAUAAUCCAUCUUCUCUGUAAUACUGGGAAUUUUUGGUGACAAAUGUGGCUACUGGCUUAUACAGAUUUUUUAAACCUCGUUUUAAAAGUCAUUGUGUCAUUGAACAUUGUUAUUAUUAGAUAUGGACAUUUGCCAAAGCUCAGAGCUGUGCAGUCCCAGAUCAGGAGAAAUUUGGAUUCAUCCUUUCCAUUUUGAAACUAACCUUCUUUAAUUAUAAUUAAUGUUUUUUUUUUGUUUGUUUUGUUUUGUUUUGUUUUGUUUUAAUUAUUUGUUAAAUGUGGAUUCAAGCAAAAAGGAGUAUAGAGAAUGAAAGUGUCCUGAAAUAUUUUAGAAACAGAGAUGACACUGGAAGUAUGGAUUAAGGGAUGAGCAAGAAGAAAUCGGGUUGAAUUAGCAGUAAUAAAAUAAAAUAAACAUAAAAUAAUAAUAAAAAAAGGAUAAUAGGAUGAAGGAUAUUGGGAACAGUUUUUACCUGACAAUGCAGUAAAAUGCUUGACCAAAUUGAGUACUCUGGAAGACUCCUGCCUUCCCAAAGGUCUUAUGAAUAAGGGGUUAAGAAUGCAAUUGGUAGGGAACAGAGAGAAUGAGUCUAGAUGGUUUUAUGGGCUCUUUCUGAGGAUUAAUUUCUGAGAAUUCUAUACAACCAGAUGGUGGGGAAAUGGCUUCUUUGCUAACCAUGGAAAAGACCACCAUUGUACGAAAUUAGAACCAGUGACACUUCUCUGAUUUAUUUUCUGCUGCUUAUUUGAAGUCCAAAGUAGGAAGUGGAAAGGAAGGACCCA